GGCCUCGUAGCUCAGUUGGCUAGAGCGUUGGCUGUACUAAAGCAUUCCCCUUGCUGGCGUGGGUUCGAAUCCUAACGAGGCCG
rfam:Schistocephalus solidus strain NST_G2 genome assembly, scaffold: SSLN_scaffold0005620